rnacentral:pre_miRNA from 1 species
ACCGGCUUGUAAGGUGAGGUUUGCACCUCAAUUAUAUAUUAUCAUUUGGCCUUAUCUCUAGUCGAUGUGGGACUUCCAACAUCGACUAGAGAUAAGGCCAAAUGAUAAUAUAUAAUUGAGGUGCAAACCUCACCUUACAAGCCGGU